GGGCCCGUAGCUCAGUCAGGAUAGAGCGGCGGAGGACCCAGCCAGGUCCGCCGUGCCUCCUAAGCCGUAGGUCGUGGGUUCGAAUCCCACCGGGCCCGCCA
rnacentral:tRNA from 1 species